CAGAUCAUAUUUGAAGCCAUCCGAGGCCCAUCACUACGAAGUGAUAUUUCUAUUGAUGACAUCUCCUUUAAAAGAGGACCAUGUGAAGAUCCCGGGGACUUCGCUCCGUACUCAGGCUUCUCUGAGUAUUUUAAUGAGAUCGAGAAAUGAGAAAGCGAGAAGUCUUUCUAUAUAAAAGUUUGCGGGUUUCAGAAGUGUGACUAAUCCACCGACAAUUUACAAAGUUGUAGAGCGAUGCUUAUAGUGUGUUGCAGCCAGUACCUCUAGAUCAGUGUGUCUAUCUCUCUUCACCUCUGAGUCUGCCAUUUUAAUGUUGGUGCAUUCAUUUUCAAAUGUUUAUAUUUUUAAUUGGAUUACAUCCUUGUCCCUGUGACAAUCAGAUACACAGCCACUGUGUUAAAGCCGGUCAUACAAAUAUUUGUUAACUAUGCUGUAGAUGAAUGAAAAAAUGUAUUUCAGUUACAAAGCACUAAUGAUGUGCUACUUCAUAACCAAAUGUCCUAUCAGGUACACAGGGGUUCUAUUCACGAUGUUAAAAAUGAUGUCAAAAAACUUGAAUUGAACUUCUGCUCAGUACGGGGCCGACAGAGCCAAACCUUUGACUAUGACCCAAACAGGAGGGGAAACACGCUGCAGUUUGAAAAUAAAAAAAUUAUGCAAAUAAAAAAACACAAAUGUAUUUCAUUUUACAUGCAAAUAAAGAACCAUCAUCAACAACUUUACAAAACAUGUGCAGCAUUUUGAAAAAUAUUCACCACCUUGAGGAAACAUGAGCCGGGUUUACUAAAAGUGCUGCAUGAACGAAACGCUGCAAAUAUAAAAAAGCUGCAAGAAGGCCAAAAUACAACGGACACCAGGGGGCACAGUUGGACCGCAGUGGGGCCGGAGCGCUAGGUGAUGUUCAGGAUUAUAAAGUUAGCCAAAUGUCACUGUAGCAGUUAGUCUUUGCCAUACCUGUAAGUGAUUGUCAGUAUAUUUGUAAUGACUCGAUUAGCUACCUUAGCUAUAGCUUGGAGCAGAUGUGCAAUAAUAUCAGAAGGAGUCAUGCGAUCACAUUGUUAAAAAUAAGCUGAUAAAACUUACAUUUUAGUUUUUUAUUUGCAACAUUUUGUUUGUGCAGUGCUUUCACUUACAGUAACGUUGCAUAUGUUUUGUAAAUGUUUUCAAAAAGAUUUGCACGUGUUGUCAAGUCGUUAAAGAUGUUUCUAUAUUUGCAUGUGUUUUGGCACAUUUGUGUUUUUAUAUUUGAAACUUUUUUAAAGCGUAUUUCUCCUGAUGGAAAUGUUUUGGGCCGUUGGAACACGUUUUAACCUUUCGGCCACCGUAGCUCAGGGUGAGAUGAUUUAGUCUAAUUGGGCAAAACAUUGAAAUCUGUAUGGAUUACAAAAUGUGGAACCAUGUAAUUACACACUUUGGUUGCUAUUGGCAAUGAGCCUUGAUCACUGCCAUGAAACAAAGCACACUUCCGCACAACAACAC